rnacentral:rRNA from 1 species
GAGUUUGAUCAUGGCUCAGAAUGAACGCUGGCGGCAUGCCUAACACAUGCAAGUCGAACGAAGGCUUCGGCCUUAGUGGCGCACGGGUGCGUAACGCGUGGGAAUCUGCCCUUGGGUUCGGAAUAACAGUUAGAAAUGACUGCUAAUACCGGAUGAUGUCGUAAGACCAAAGAUUUAUCGCCCAAGGAUGAGCCCGCGUAGGAUUAGCUAGUUGGUGGGGUAAAGGCCCACCAAGGCGACGAUCCUUAGCUGGUCUGAGAGGAUGAUCAGCCACACUGGGACUGAGACACGGCCCAGACUCCUACGGGAGGCAGCAGUGGGGAAUAUUGGACAAUGGGCGAAAGCCUGAUCCAGCAAUGCCGCGUGAGUGAUGAAGGCCUUAGGGUUGUAAAGCUCUUUUACCCGGGAUGAUAAUGACAGUACCGGAGAAUAAGCUCCGGCUAACUUCGUGCCAGCAGCCGCAGUAAC